AUUGAACGCUGGCGGCAUGCCUAACACAUGCAAGUCGCACGCGAAAGGGGGCAACCCUGAGUAGAGUGGCGGACGGGUGAGUAACGCGUAGGAAUCUACCUGGUAGUGGGGGACAACCCGGUGAAAACCGGGCUAAUACCGCAUACGAUCCACGGAUGAAAGCAGGGGACCGCAAGGCCUUGCGCUAUCAGAUGAGCCUGCGUCGGAUUAGCUAGUUGGUGAGGUAAAGGCUCACCAAGGCAACGAUCCGUAGCUGGGUUGAGAGAACGACCAGCCAAACUGGGACUGGGACACGGCCCAGACUCCGACGGGAGGCAGCAGUGGGGAAUAUUGGACAAUGGGGGCAACCCUGAUCCAGCAAUGCCGCGUGUGUGAAGAAGGCCUUCGGGUUGUAAAGCACUUUCGGUUGAGAAGAAAUCGCACGGGCUAAUACUCUGUGCGGAUGACGGUAUCAACAUAAGAAGCACCGGCUAACUACGUGCCAGCCGCCGCCGUAA
rnacentral:rRNA from 1 species